CCUACGGGAGGCAGCAGUGAGGAAUAUUGGACAAUGGGCGCAAGCCUGAUCCAGCCAUGCCGCGUGCAGGAAGAAGCAUCUAUGGUGUGUAAACUGCUUUUGUACGGGAAGAAACACUGCUACGUGUAGCAGCUUGACGGUACCGUAAGAAUAAGGAUCGGCCAACUCCGUGCCAGCAGCCGCGGUAAUACGGAGGAUCCAAGCGUUAUCCGGAAUCAUUGGGUUUAAAGGGUCCGUAGGCGGUUUGGUAAGUCAGUGGUGAAAGCCCAUCGCUUAACGAUGGAACGGCCAUUGAUACUGCCAGACUUGAAUUACUAGGAAGUAACUAGAAUAUGUAGUGUAGCGGUGAAAUGCUUAGAUAUUACAUGGAAUACCAAUUGCGAAGGCAGGUUACUACUAGUUUAUUGACGCUGAUGGACGAAAGCGUGGGGAGCGAACAGGAUUAGAUACCCUGGUAGUCCACGCCGUAAACGAUGGAUACUAGCUGUUCGGGGUAACCUGAGUGGCUAAGCGAAAGUGAUAAGUAUCCCACCUGGGGAGUACGUUCGCAAGAAUGAAACUCAAAUGAAAUUGACGG
rnacentral:rRNA from 1 species